rnacentral:rRNA from 1 species
GAUGAACGCUGGCGGCGUGCCUAAUACAUGCAAGUCGAGCGAACAGACGAGGAGCUUGCUCCUCUGACGUUAGCGGCGGACGGGUGAGUAACACGUGGAUAACCUACCUAUAAGACUGGGAUAACUUCGGGAAACCGGAGCUAAUACCGGAUAAUAUAUUGAACCGCAUGGUUCAAUAGUGAAAGACGGUUUUGCUGUCACUUAUAGGUGGAUCCGCGCCGCAUUAGCUAGUUGGUAAGGUAACGGCUUACCAAGGCGACGAUGCGUAGCCGACCUGAGAGGGUGAUCGGCCACACUGGAACUGAGACGCGGUCCAGACUCCUACGGGAGGCAGCAGUAGGGAAUCUUCCGCAAUGGGCGAAAGCCUGACGGAGCAACGCCGCGUGAGUGAUGAAGGUCUUCGGAUCGUAAAACUCUGUUAUUAGGGAAGAACAAAUGUGUAAGUAACUAUGCACGUCUUGACGGUACCUAAUCAGAAAGCCACGGCUAACUACGUG